rnacentral:rRNA from 1 species
AGCAGUCGCCGCGGUAAUACGAAGGGGGCUAGCGUUGCUCGGAAUCACUGGGCGUAAAGGGUGCGUAGGCGGGUCUUUAAGUCAGGGGUGAAAUCCUGGAGCUCAACUCCAGAACUGCCUUUGAUACUGAAGAUCUUGAGUUCGGGAGAGGUGAGUGGAGCUGCGAGUGUAGAGGUGAAAUUCGUAGAUAUUCGCAAGAACACCAGUGGCGAAGGCGGCUCACUGGCCCGAUACUGACGCUGAGGCACGAAAGCGUGGGGAGCAAACAGGAUUAGAUACCCCCGUAGUCCCUGUCUCUUAUAC